GACGAACGCUGGCGGCGUGCUUAACACAUGCAAGUCGAACGGAAAGGCCCUGCUUUUGUGGGGUGCUCGAGUGGCGAACGGGUGAGUAACACGUGAGUAACCUGCCCUUGACUUUGGGAUAACUUCAGGAAACUGGGGCUAAUACCGGAUAGGAGCUCCUGCUGCAUGGUGGGGGUUGGAAAGUUUCGGCGGUUGGGGAUGGACUCGCGGCUUAUCAGCUUGUUGGUGGGGUAGUGGCUUACCAAGGCUUUGACGGGUAGCCGGCCUGAGAGGGUGACCGGCCACAUGGGGACUGGGAUAGGGACCAGACUCAUACGGGAGGCAGCAGUGGGGAAUAGUGCACAAGGGGCGGAAGCCAGAUGCAGCAACGCAGCGUGCGGGAUGACGGGCUGCGGGUUGUAAACCGCUUUCGCCUGUGACGAAGCGUGAGUGACGGUAAUGGGUAAAGAAGCACCGGCUAACUACGUG
rnacentral:rRNA from 1 species